rnacentral:miRNA from 1 species
UCGCUUGGUGCAGGUCGGGUC